AUGCGCUCCUGCAUCCUGUGGCGUGGGGUCAGCAAAGGAUGGAUUCACAAAACCAGGACGUUUUGCAAGGGUGAAAUUCUCUACAUGUUGUGGGACAUCGGGAAGUCUGAACAGAGCCCGGCACUCACAGGGGGCUGCCCCAAGCACUCUCCGGUUCCCCCCACUUUGGCUGGAGCGGAGCCUUGGAGGCAUCCAUCCAUACUGCUCGAACAGCCUUUAGGUUUUGCCGUUAUUUUAGAACAGGUGGGAGGUGAUGGAUUCCCCCAGACAGUUCUCCUUUCUGAGUGUCACGUCUUCACACAAACACGCACCAUCAGUCCUCCAGCCUGGGGUGCCUGUGAUGCACUGAAAUAAUGUGCUCCAAGGAAGAGGAUAAUCUCCUACAUGGUGCCUAUCUUGCUACUCCAGUGUUCUCACGUCCUGACAACAAUUGGCAAUAGAAUAAGAGUUACUGAGGAAUUAUUUGACAUCUUUGUGAAUUUGGUGCUCCAGUUGGAGACAGUCAGCUACGUGCUGAGACAAGAUGCACAGAAUGGCUGAGAACUGCUAAAACCAGAGUUUCCUUCAGAACUUACCUGAUGCGAUGCAGCUUUUAGUGCAUAACAUGCAUUUUAUAUAUCUAUCUAAUGAAAAACCUUUGAUAAGAGCAUGUUUCUGUGUUUUAGAGUGAUUAUGUAUUAGUGUUUUAUUGUUCCCAUAUAUGUGAAAUUCUUUGGAGAAGAUUGGCAUAGUUCCUACAGAAUCAGUCUUCUGAGGUGAGCAUACAGCACAGAAAGCAAGUAUGGCAGAGCAGGAGGUCUGUUGUAAGACUGUUAUAGCAUGUACGUAUAUAUAUAGAUAGAUAUAUACACAUAUAUGUUUGGAAGACUCACACAGCCCUUUCUAUUGCUCCCCUGCUCUGUUUCAAGCACCCACCUGCAGCAUGAAUAACUCCAUGAAUGAUUGUUGCUAUAACUGUAAGUUCAGGUCACUGAGUUUGUGAUGUGUAAGGUCUAUCUUCUGUGUCUUUUAGGUAAUAAUUAUUUUUAUAUGGUGUAAAAAAGUAUUGUGAGGCUUGCUUCCUAUGUUUAUAUGACGUAUGAAAUUCUUGUGUAGACUGACCACUAUGACAAAACAUUAUGAAUCACUUCAUUUACUGACGAAAUGGAGAUUCUCAUGAUUAAUGACGAAAUGGAGGAAAAAAGAUUGUACCUGCCAGAAACUUUUCUCUGGUGGGCACAAUGUCAUUUCUCUGUUUGGGUUUUGCUAGGACACCAAAUGUAAUGCCUUUGUGGUGGGUUUACCUUACCAGGCCCCACCACACCGUUCUCUUACUCCUUUUUCUCCAUAGGACAGAAGGAGAAAAAGCAAGAUGGAAAAGGUCAUGGGCUGAGAUAAAGACGGGGACAUCACUUAUCAAUUACCAUCAUGGGCAAAACAGACUUGGACAGACUUGGCUUGGUGAAGAUUAAUUUAAUUUAUUACCAAUUAGAAGUAGAGUAAUAUACUGGGAAAUAAAGUCAAAACUACAGAAACCUUCCCCA
rnacentral:lncRNA from 1 species